UAAAUAUGGUGCACCGAUUCAAUCUAACGGUGUAAAUUCAUCUCAGUUGAGAUCACCAUUGAUUAAGGUGGAGGCAACUACUGAAAUAAACCCUAACAAGAAUCAAUUUCGGGUUAUGGUCUAUUGAGUAAAUUCAUCUCAGUUGAGAUCACCAUUGAUUAAGGUGGAGGCAACUACUGAAAUAAACCCUAACAAGAAUCAAUUUCGGGUUAUGGUCUAUUGACCCGUUGAGCCCAAGUCGGGGCCCAAUAGAACAUGGUGACACGUGUCUAUCUCUGAUAGGAACAUAGAGUCUUCGCGGUACGGUCUUUUUUAUUUCUCAUCCUUAUCCGGUUUUAGUUUUUUUUGGAAGAAAAAAUAAAUAAAUUAUUAUCUUAAAUUAAUAAACACAUUGAGAGCGUGGAGAUUUGUUGCGGAACACGUGCUCCAAAAAAUAAAGUAAAAAAGAGAUCCAUAAAGAUUUUUUUGGUAACAAGUUCAAUAAAGACGUUACUGGUUUUUUUUUUCUUUUCGUAUAAGAGACGUUGCUAAUAAUAUUAUAUAAAAAUUUAAAAAAAAUUAUGAGAAUA
rnacentral:lncRNA from 1 species